CAGAACGAACGCUAGCGGCGCGUUCAGGCAUGCAGUGAACGGUACCAGGCCCUUUUGGGUGCUGACGAGUGACGCACGGGUGAGUAACGCGUAGGUAAUCUACCUAUUGGACUGGGAUAGCUCUACGAAAGUAGGAUUAAAACCAGAUACAUUUAUCUAAUCUUAAGAUUAAAUAAAGAAAUGUCUAAGCCGAUAGAUGAGCCUGCGUUAGAUUAGUUAGUAGGUGUGGUAAUGGCGCACCUAGGCAUCGAUCUAUAGCCGAGUUGAGAGGCUAAUCGGCCACAUUGGAACUGAGACACGGUCCAGACUCCUACGGGAGGCAGCAGCUAAGAAUCUUCCGCAAUGGUUGAGAGACUGACGGAGCGACGCCGCGUGAAUGAUGAAGGCCUUUUAGGUUGUAAAAUUCUUUUAUAAUAGAUGAAAGUAUAGAUAUAGUUUAUGCUGACCGUAUAUUAUGAAUAAGGUCCGGCUAACUACGUGCCAGCAGCCGCGGUAAAACGUAGGGACCUAGCGUUGUUCGGAAUUACUGGGCGUAAAGGGUAUGCAGGCUGUUAUAUAAGUCAGAUGUGAAAGACCCGGGCUCAACCUUGGAAUUGCGUCUGAUACUGUAUAACUUGGGUAGCUGAGAGGAAGUCGGAAUUCCUGGUGUAGGGGUGAAAUCUAUAGAUAUCAGGAAGAACACCAGUAGCGUAGGCGGACUUCUGGCAGCUUACCGACGCUGAGGUACGAAAGGUAGGGUAGCAAACAGGAUUAGAGACCCUGGUAGUCCUACCUGUAAACGUUGUAUACUAGGUGGUGGAAGUUUAAUAUCUUACUCUGCCGGAAGUAACGCAGGAAGUAUACCGCCUGGGGAGUAUGACGGCAACGGUGAAACUCUAAGGAAUUGACGGGGCCCCGACACAACCAGUGGUGCAUGUUGAGUUAGCUCCGAUGAUAUGCGAGGAAC
rnacentral:rRNA from 1 species